rnacentral:tRNA from 2 species
GGCUCCGUGGCCGAGUGGUUAGGUACCGGUCUGCAAAACCGUUUACACCAGUUCGAAUCUGGUCGGAGCCU